UUGCCGUUGCAAUGGGGCAACGCGCCCAC
rnacentral:sRNA from 1 species